rnacentral:lncRNA from 1 species
GCAGCUUUAAAGUUUGAGAAAUGUCCUUCUGAAAGUGCCAUUUACAGGAAGAGGCAAGGGGACAGCUUGCUAGUUGUCGGUGUGUAUGUAGAUGGCCUUGUGAUAACAGGAAACAAAGCAUCUGACAUAGAUCAGUUCAAGAAGCAAAUGAAGACCAUGUUCAAGAUGAGCGACCUUGGUCUCUUGAGCUACUAUCUGGGG